GACGAACGCUGGCGGCGUGCUUAACACAUGCAAGUCGAACGGAAAGGCCCCUUUGGGGGUCCUCGAGUGGCGAACGGGUGAGUAACACGUGAGUAACCUGCCCUUGACUUCGGGAUAACUUCAGGAAACUGGGGCUAAUACCGGAUAGGAAUCCUUGCUGCAUGGUGGGGGUUGGAAAGCUUCGGCGGUUUUGGAUGGACUCGCGGCUUAUCAGCUUGUUGGUGGGGUAGUGGCUUACCAAGGCUUUGACGGGUAGCCGGCCUGAGAGGGAGACCGGCCACAUUGGGACUGAGAUACGGCCCAGACGCCUAAGGGAGGAAGCAGGGGGGAAGAUUGAACAAUGGGCGGAAGCCUGAUGCAGCAACGCCGCGGGCGGGAUGACGGCCUUCGGGUUGUAAACCGCAUUCAGCAGGGGCGAAGCUUGUGGUGACGGUACCUGCAGAAGAAGCACCGGCUAACUACGUG
rnacentral:rRNA from 1 species